CAUUCCUGUGUGAUCUGUUAUAGGUGAUCCUGCUCUGCAAGGAGGUUGGACUCGAGCUUUCAAGAUCCGUUCCAGCCCCUGACCUUCUUCUGUGAUUCUAUAUCAGUAACUAGGUUGAUGGAUUCAUGUCCAGGCUGAUUCCAGGCAAGGGUUAACAAAGGUAUCAGAUUACAGAAAGGGAAAACAGCAGCUUGAGAGAGUCCAGCACAGAGCUACAGUGAUGAUGAAAGGAAUGGAAGGAACACCUCUCUUAUGAGGAGAAACUGAGGGAGUUGGGACUCUUUAACUUGGAGAGGAGGAGCCUGAGGCAUGACCUCAUGAAUGUUGGUAAAGGUGUAAAGGGCUUAAACCUGGUCUGGAGGAUUCUCAUCUCAAAAUUGUCCCAGUGACACAUGCUGUCAAAUAUUGUGAAACUGAUCAAAUUGUCAACUGGAUACAUUAAAAUAGUUGUAGGUGUUCAGCAUUUCAGACAAGCUGAAUGCAGGUCUCUUAGAAGUUGGAGCAGCCAAAUUAUGUGACAGGUACCAUUCUUCACAGAGGCCAUGAACAAUUGCAGAGCUGCCAGCGUCUGACUGAAAUAAUGGCUGUACACAGAGGAUCAUUUGUAAGACAGCAGGCUGAGAAAGGUCCCAUUUAUCUGCCAGGCAAGGUUUCAUAACUCUUGGCAUCCGUUCACGAGGAAAGCAUCAUUGAAUGUUAGCUCUUGCUAAUUACCUCAACCUAGGAGAUGUUAGAUUAAAAUCCUUUUUUUUCCUGAAA